UUCUUCUUCUUCUUCUUCUUUUUGGAAGGAAAUUAAAGGACAUUCCAGUUAUGCCUCAAUCCAGAACAUGGGAGUUUAUAUGGCCUACAAAAUGUUGCUAUUAUGUGACUUGUAAUGUUGAAGAUGUGGACAAUCUGUAGAGUGAUGGGAGCAUGGCCAGUAAGUUUUGCUGAUUUUUCAGCAUUAAUUUGGUCUCAGAGGCUGAAAACAUGGCUCUUUAUUGAGCUUGUCUGCUAUGGCUCAGCCGGGUGUCUGUCCAUUCCAUAUGAGGAUCAUGGAGACCGAAAUUCCACGAAAUUUGAAGGUGGGUCAAACCACGAAUGGGCUUCUUGAAGUUGACUGUUGAUGGGCCAUCUCGCAGAAAUCCAGGUGUUGCUGGAGGAGGUGGUAUUGUUAGAAAUGGUAACGGUGAAUGUGUUUUGGCAUUUUUAAGCUUCUAUGCUAAUCCUUUUGACAUGGUGGCACAAAGGUAAAGGUUUCUUCUGGAUGGGCUGAAUGUUUGUAAAUCUAAGAGGUUUUGCAAUAUUGCAGUACAGAGUGAUUUGGAAGUAGUAGUGGAAUUCAUCUCUAACAGCCACAUUGCUAUUUGGUCAGUGUGUUAGUGGGAGUCAGUAAAUCCAAAUUUAUGAGUCAUUGAAAUCUAGAUUGGCGGUUCUCUGAUAAGAAGUUGUGUGAGAUUGAUAUAGAUUCUUUCAAUCUUUUUUAUUGAAUUCUUGGGGUAAGGUUCAGUCACCCCUUUUUGUUUCUCUUUUUUCAUAUUAAUGAAGUUUAGUGGAACCAUGCACCUUUGCCAAAAAAAGAAGAAGAUUUGAUUUAGGAAACUGAUGAAACCACACUCUGAAAAUUUGAAAUAUAGAUUAACUUUCUAUGGAUUGAAAAACAGAAUAGCCUACCUGAUGGUUCGGAUCUGAUCUUCAGGUUCCUGAAUUGAUUUACAAUAGCAGAUUGAAGCUCCAAAAGAUUUGAUUUAGGAGAAACAAUCACCAGUUGAAACAAGCAGAAGAAACUGAGAAGAGAAGAAAUGGGAGAGGAGAGGGGAAAGAUGUGGAGUCUCACUACAGAUGUGACUCUGGGGUUUAUAUGGCCACCAUUGCAGUUGAUGAAAAUUCCAACCAUGUGAUUUUAUUUUGGCCCGAAGGCACACGUGUCUCCUGAUUGAUUGUCUAUACAUCAUCGUCAACCACUUUUGUGGAUGCUAGGAUUUCAGUAGCCACUUGUAAUUUGAAUCAACCAGUGCCUUCCAUUAA